UACGUAGGGGGCAAGCGUUGUCCGGAAUCAUUGGGCGUAAAGCGCGUGUAGGCGGCUCGAUAAGUCUGCUGUGAAAAGUUCAGGGCUCAACCCUGAAAUGCCGGUGGAAACUGUCGGGCUAGAGUCCGGAAGAGGCGAGUGGAAUUCCUGGUGUAGCGGUGAAAUGCGCAGAUAUCAGGAGGAACACCGAUGGCGAAGGCAGGUCUCUGGGCCACUACUGACGCUGAGAAGCGAAAGCAUGGGGAGCGAACAGG
rnacentral:rRNA from 1 species